rnacentral:tRNA from 1 species
GCCAGUGUGGUGUAGUGGUUUGAGUGUUGGACUACGACUCAGGAGACCAGGGUUGGAUUCCCAGCCUGGCC